CUUCCGGCGUCCACUUUGAAUUGCCAUAUUGUUUGUUUAUUCGCCAUUACCUUCGGGAGAGACAGUGUCACUAAAAGGCGAGACAGUGGGAAAAUCUGUGGUGUGCAGAAACCUCCUGCUUCCUACCGCAGACUGGCCGGCUUGCGCUCCGAGGGCCAUGCCCUCACAUAUCUCCCCAGGGUUCCAGGAGUCUGAAUCAGUGUGACAGUGCCUAAACUCAUCAAAGGACAGAAGCACAGUUACUGUUAUAGAACAGGAUGACAGAAAAGAACAACUCGGGAGUGUACGCAGGAAAAGGAGAAAUGGAUGAGUCGGCAUCCCCAAAAGAAAGGCCAUGAAAGAAGGUGGCAUCUACAAAUCAGGAAGAGAGCCCUCACCAAGGAAUGGGCCAGCACCUUGAUCUUAGACUUCUCAGCCUUCAGAACUGUGAGAAAUAAAUUCUCUGUUGUUUAAG